rnacentral:rRNA from 1 species
UUGAAAGGGAAACGAUUGAAGUCAGUCGUACCAGCGGGAAAUCAACCUUUCGAGUGGGGUUUUGGAGUUUUGAAGAGUGUCAAAGCCUUUGAGAUUUCAAAAUGUUUGCUCUUUUGGUGUACUUUCUCGUAGGUAGGCUAACAUCGAUUUUGGUCAUCAUAAAAGGAUUGGAGGAAUGUAGCUUCGAUCUCGUAUUGAAGUGUUAUAGCCUUUGGUAAAUGUGAUGAUUAGGAUCGAGGAUUGCAACGAAUACCCUUUUGGGCUAUCCGCCUGAUCUCUGAUACGUGGCC